AACCUCCGCAAUGUGAGAAAUCGCGACGGGGGGAUCCCAAGUGCCAUUCUUAACGGGAUGGCUUUUCUUAAGUGUAAAAAGCUUUUGGAAUAAGAGCUGGGCAAGACCGGUGCCAGCCGCCGCGGUAACACCGGCAGCUCUAGUGGUAGCUGUUUUUAUUGGGCCUAAAGCGUUCGUAGCCGGUUUGAUAAGUCACUGGUGAAAUCCUGUAGCUUAACUGUGGGAAUUGCUGGUGAUACUGUUGAACUUGAGGUCGGGAGAGGUUAGCGGUACUCCCAGGGUAGAGGUGAAAUUCUGUAAUCCUGGGAGGACCACCUGUGGCGAAGGCGGCUAACUGGAACGAACCUGACGGUGAGGGACGAAAGCUAGGGGCGCGAACCGGAUUAGAUACCCGGGUAGUCCUAGCCGUAAACGAUGCGGACUUGGUGUUGGGAUGGCUUUGAGCCGCUCCGGUGCCGAAGGGAAGCUGUUAAGUCCGCCGCCUGGGAAGUACGGUCGCAAGACUGGAACUUAAAGGAAUU
rnacentral:rRNA from 1 species